GUCAGACGUUACCGCUAGCUCAAUCGUGCAAGUCGAGCGCCCCGCAAGGGGAGCGGCAGACGGGUGAGUAACGCGUGGGAAUCUACCCAUCUCUACGGAACAACUCCGGGAAACUGGAGCUAAUACCGUAUACGUCCUUCGGGAGAAAGAUUUAUCGGAGAUGGAUGAGCCCGCGUUGGAUUAGCUAGUUGGUGGGGUAAUGGCCUACCAAGGCGACGAUCCAUAGCUGGUCUGAGAGGAUGAUCAGCCACAUUGGGACUGAGACACGGCCCAAACUCCUACGGGAGGCAGCAGUGGGGAAUAUUGGACAAUGGGCGCAAGCCUGAUCCAGCCAUGCCGCGUGAGUGAUGAAGGCCCUAGGGUUGUAAAGCUCUUUCAACGGUGAAGAUAAUGACGGUAACCGUAGAAGAAGCCCCGGCUAACUUCGUGCCAGCAGCCGCGGUAAUACGAAGGGGGCUAGCGUUGUUCGGAAUUACUGGGCGUAAAGCGCACGUAGGCGGAUAUUUAAGUCAGGGGUGAAAUCCCGGGGCUCAACCCCGGAACUGCCUUUGAUACUGGGUAUCUCCAGUCCCAGAGAGGUCAGUUGAAUUCCGACUGUAGAAGUGAAAUU
rnacentral:rRNA from 1 species